rnacentral:rRNA from 1 species
UACAGAGGGUGCAAGCGUUGUUCGGAAUUAUUGGGCGUAAAGCGCGUGUAGGCGGCUUUGCAAGUCGGGUGUGAAAGCCCUCAGCUUAACUGAGGAAGUGCGCCCGAAACUGCAGAGCUUGAGUACCGGAGAGGAUGGCGGAAUUCCCCAAGUAGAGGUGAAAUUCGUAGAUAUGGGGAGGAACACCGGUGGCGAAGGCGGCCAUCUGGACGGAUACUGACGCUGAGACGCGAAAGCGUGGGUAGCGAACAGG